ensembl:lncRNA
UUAGGUUUGCUGGCUGACACCAGUCAGAAUGGUAGGACUCCAAGUGAUGUGAUGGUCCUAAAAUUGAAUGGAUGAAAUCACCUAGGAAAUGGUCUCAGUAUGUCUUGGGGGUCCAGAGGAAUAAGUUGCAGGUUGGAUGACAAGGAAAUGACCAUGAUGAAUGCUUGAUGAAAUAUGAAGGAUGGUUUAGAAUAUGACUGCUACGGAAAGUGAUAGAAGAUUAUGAUCAGUAUUAUCUUGUAAAGCAAGGAAACCUCCAGGAGAAAAACUUGUAAAGAAAUUGGUGAAACUCAGCUAAAACAAAUCAUCCCAACAUUAACAUAUGAAUAUAAAUUUAUUGUUAACCAUCAAUUAAACAUCUACUAAGUUCUAGGUACUAUCCCUAUAAGGAUGAACCUAGAAGGACAACAAAAAGGCAAGCUGCAAAAUAGAUUGUUUGGGGAAUUUCUAUAGUUUCUAUAUAAUCUUGUCAAUGAGAGUAGAAUCACUGAUAUUGAACUUUACUCAGCGGGAUGCAAGUCAAUGUCAAUGACAUUAAAAAAGCUGAAGGUGGGAAGAAUGGUGAGACAAGUAAUAUGUAAAGAAAAGAAAGAUAUAUUUAAAGCCAUUAAUUAUAGAUGAACUAGAUGGCAAAUGGUUAGAGCAAUCAGGAAGAUCUGCAUUCAAAUUCAACCUUAGACAUUUACUGGCUGUGUGAUCCCAAGCCAGUAAUGUAAUCUAUCUGCCUCAGUCUCCUUAACUGUAAAAUGGAGGUAAUAGUAUCUACAUCCUAGGGUUGUUGUGAGGAUCAGAUGAGUUAAUAAUUGUAAAGUGCUUAGCCUAGUGUUUGGCACAUAGUACUGUAUAAUAUAAAUGUUUGCUAUUAAUGUUAUUGUUAUUGUUGUUACACAGCUUUAAAGGUGCUUAAAUGGACCUUCAAGGUAUAUUGAAGAAGGAAAAAAUUCUAAAUGGUUGAAAAAGAACAGAGCUACUAUUUUAUCAAAAGAGAUUUAAAAAUAUCAACAGUCCAAAACAUAAGUCUGUUUUAUCUCUAUUCAGUCCUCAUGAGAAUGAAGCAAGAAGAUUGCCCUGUUCAAAAGUCAUCAGUAGCAUCCUUUUACCAGUCAAAGUUUACUGAAUGCAUCCUUCUUAGAACUCCAGUAAUAGUGGAUGAAAUGGAUGACAUGAACCUUACCCUGUUCUCAUAUAAUUGUGAUGUCCUUGUUCAGUUCUUCUUACUUAAGGAUAUGUCAUAUCUAUCUCAAGUCUCCUCUGCCCAGUUUCCUCCAGGUAAAACUUUGAAUUUUUCUUCUUUUUUUCUUCUUAUUUACAUCUGGUUUAUUCUUGGAUUUAAUUGAUCAACUUAAUGGAGAGUCCAGGUACGUUUCACUCAUACAUAAAUGAAGAAACUGAGUCCAAGAAAAAGAAGACUUUCUUUUUACCUACAAAGGAUGCAUUGUGGCACUCAAGCCUAGAGUUUAGGUCUUUUGACUUUCAUUCAUUACUCUGCAUAGUAUUAGGUUAAAAUAUCCAAAAAAAAUCUUUCCUAGACCAGAUAUUGAUGUUGAUUUUGAUGAUGAUGAGGUAGUAGGUUUUCCUUCCAUUUGAACCUUUCUGUAAUGAUUAAAAUUUUUUUGGAGACUGUUUCUAACAUCUUUCACCCUUCCAUUGUAUUGGUGAAGUCUCCUCCCCUCCCCACCAUGAACUUCUUUAUGAAAUACAAAUUUACCCCAUUUUGUCUCUUUCCACAGUUGUGGCAGCAAGGAAUCCCUCCAGGCUGGGGCCCUCACUCCAAGAUUCCAGGGACCACCAGACACUUAGCACAGUAGGUAGGGGAGGGGUCCUUGGACCUUCCUUCUUCCUUUUCCUUAAACCUGACAAUUCAGCCUUCUCUGAAUAAUACCUUUUAAGUUGAAUCCAGCAGGAGGGUAUCCUGGCUCUGUCCUGUUAGAUUUGGUUUUCCGUCCCUUUGAAACACUUUGUUUUUGAUUGGUGUGGAAGGAUUUUCACAAAGGUCUGGACUUUUGCUGCUUCUAAGCAUCUUGACUUUACCC